GACGUAGGGCGCGAGCGUUGUCCGGAUUUAUUGGGCGUAAAGAGCUCGUAGGCGGCUUGUCGCGUCGUCCGUGAAAACCUGGGGCUCAACUCCGGGCCUGCAGUCGAUACGGGCAAACUGGAGUGUUGCAGGGGAGACUGGAAUUCCUGGUGUAGCGGUGAAAUGCGCAGAUAUCAGGAGGAACACCGAUGGCGAAGGCAGGUCUCUGGGCCACUACUGACGCUGAGGCACGAAGGUCAGGGGAGCAAACGGG
rnacentral:rRNA from 1 species